rnacentral:rRNA from 1 species
UACGUAGGGUGCGAGCGUUGUCCGGAAUUAUUGGGCGUAAAGAGCUCGUAGGCGGUGUGUCACGUCGUUCGUGAAAACCUGCAGCUUAACUGUGGGCGUGCGGUCGAUACGGGCAUCACUGGAGUUCGGCAGGGGAGACUGGAAUUCCUGGUGUAGCGGUGAAAUGCGCAGAUAUCGAGAGGAACACCUGCGGCGAAGGCGGGUUGCUGGGCUGAUACUGACGCUGAUGCGCGAAAGCCAGGGGAGCGAACGGG